rnacentral:rRNA from 1 species
CCUACGGGGUGCACCAGUGGGGAAUAUUGCACAAUGGGCGCAAGCCUGAUGCAGCCAUGCCGCGUGUAUGAAGAAGGCCUUCGGGUUGUAAAGUACUUUCAGCGGGGAGGAAGGUGUUGUGGUUAAUAACCACAGCAAUUGACGUUACCCGCAGAAGAAGCACCGGCUAACUCCGUGCCAGCAGCCGCGGUAAUACGGAGGGUGCAAGCGUUUAUCGGAAUUACUGGGCGUAAAGUGCACGCAGGCGGUCCGUCAAGUCGGAUGUGAAAUCCCCGGGCUCAACCUGGGAACUGCAUUCGAAACUGGCAGGCUAGAGUCUUGUAGAGGGGGGUAGAAUUCCAGGUGUAGCGGUGAAAUGCGUAGAGAUCUGGAGGAAUAUCGGUGGCGAAGGCGGCCCCCUGGACAAAGACUGACGCUCAGGUGCGAAAGCGUGGGGAGCAAACAGGAUUAGGUACCCUGGUAGUC